rnacentral:rRNA from 1 species
UAAUACGUAGGGUGCGAGCGUUGUCCGGAAUUAUUGGGCGUAAAGGGCUCGUAGGCGGUUUGUCGCGUCGGGAGUGAAAACACCGGGCUUAACUCGGUGCUUGCUUUCGAUACGGGCAGACUAGAGGUAUGCAGGGGAGAACGGAAUUCCUGGUGUAGCGGUGAAAUGCGCAGAUAUCAGGAGGAACACCGGUGGCGAAGGCGGUUCUCUGGGCAUUACCUGACGCUGAGGAGCGAAAGUGUGGGGAGCGAACAGGAUUAGAUACCCUGGUAGUCCACACCGUAAACGUUGGGCGCUAGGUGUGGGGCCUAUUCCAUGGGUUCCGUGCCGCAGCUAACGCAUUAAGCGCCCCGCCUGGGGAGUACGGCCGCAAGGCUA